GGAUGGGUAGCCUCGCACGGGCGAGGAGUAAUGCGCCCACAUCGCUACGCGGGUUCGACUCCCGCCCCAUCCA
rnacentral:tRNA from 1 species